rnacentral:rRNA from 1 species
AGUGAACGCUGGCGGUAGGCCUAACACAUGCAAGUCGAACGGCAGCACAGUAAGAGCUUGCUCUUACGGGUGGCGAGUGGCGGACGGGUGAGGAAUACAUCGGAAUCUACUUUUUCGUGGGGGAUAACGUAGGGAAACUUACGCUAAUACCGCAUACGACCUACGGGUGAAAGCAGGGGAUCUUCGGACCUUGCGGGAUUGAAUGAGCCGAUGUCGGAUUAGCUAGUUGGCGGGGUAAAGGCCCACCAAGGCGACGAUCGGUGGCUGGUCUGAGAGGAUGAUCAGCCACACUGGAACUGAGACACGGUCCAGACUCCUACGGGAGGCAGCAGUGGGGAAUAUUGGACAAUGGGCGCAAGCCUGAUCCAGCCAUACCGCGUGGGUGAAGAAGGCCUUCGGGUUGUAAAGCCCUUUUGUUGGGAAAGAAAAGCAGCAGGUUAAUACCCCGCUGUUCUGACGGUACCCAAAGAAUAAGCACCGGCUAACUUCGUG